GACGAACGCUGGCGGCGUGCUUAACACAUGCAAGUCGAACGGAAAGGCCCUGCUUUUGUGGGGUGCUCGAGUGGCGAACGGGUGAGUAACACGUGAGUAACCUGCCCUUUACUUUGGGAUAACUUCAGGAAACUGGGGCUAAUACCGGAUAGGAGCCCCUGCCGCAUGGUGGGGGUUGGAAAGUUUCGACGGUUGGGGAUGGACUCGCGGCUUAUCAGCUUGUUGGUGGGGUAGCGGCUUACCAAGGCUUUGACGGGUAGCCGGCCUGAGAGGGUGACCGGCCACAUUGGGCCUAUGUUACGGCACAGAAUCGUCCGGGAGGAGGCAGUGGAGAAAAUUAGACAAUGGGCGGGAGCCAGUUGCAGCAACGCCGCGUGCGGGAUGACGGCCUUCGGGUUGUAAACCGCUUUCGCCUGUAGCUGGGCGUGAGUAACGGUAAUGGGUAAAGAAGCACCGGCUAACUACGUG
rnacentral:rRNA from 1 species